GAUGGGCAAAGCUGUGCACUUGUAGAUACAUUCAUGAGGGGAGAGGUGCCCUCCCUUCCUGAGGAGCUGUUGGCCUGGGUGGGCAGGAACUGCAAUAUGGCCAUGGGCUGAGCUGGCUGAGCACCUCAGCCUUUAGGGCUCAUGGCCAGGGGACACUGUGUGACUCUCCUCUCUUGCAGGUCUAUUCACCUGGGGUAUGGCAGCUACUGACCUGUCUCCCUGGGGUCACAUGCUUUGUUUCCAUUCUUGUCCUGGCUGGACCAGCCACUGUGGGACCAACACCCCCCCCCACACUCCCCCAGACUGCUCGUCUAUCACCAGGAUCGCUUUGCACUUUGUGCGAAAGGGUCUGGCUGUCCCUUGCUGUUUUCAUCUCUGCCAAGCCCGUUGUGCCUCUGGCUGCUGUGUGUGUGCGUGUGCACGUGUGUGUGUUUCAUCUGUUCAUUCAUUGCACAAGAUAUUUAUUGAGUGCCCACUACGUGCCAGGCACUGUUGCUGAGUUCCUGUGGGUGUGUCUCUCGAUGCCACUCCUGCUUCUCCGGGAGCCUCUUUCUGUGCUUCUCUUUGUCCCCAAAUUGCUACCUCUUUGUCAGUCUGGGUGUCUCAGGUUCUGUGUUUCCUUGUGUGCAUUUCUGUCUCUCUCUGUCCUUGUCUCUCUGCAAGGCCCUUUAUUUCUCUCUUUCUUGGUGUCUGUCCAUGCUCCCUUUGCCCUCUGGAUUCUCUGGGUCUGUGUAGGCCCCUGGUCUGCCCUGGGCUCAUCAGCCUUCCUGACCUCCUCCUGCCCUCCCCUUCACUCCCUCCCUGGCUCUGCCAGUCGGUUCCCACGGAGCCAUUUUUAGCUCUGAUCAGCAUGGGAAUGUGCCUCGGCCUCCAAGGGGCUUUGUCCUGGUGCCCCCGCCCCUGGUCCCAACCUGAUCCCAUGAGGGAGUCGGGACAGGAGGAUUGAUGGUGCUCCCCUUCCUGCCAGCGUCAGAGGCCCUGGAGAGGGGCUCUCCAUGGCAGCUGGUCUUUAUUCCUCCCUCAUGAGCACAGGGCGGGGGGCUCCCCAUUCUUGGAAGAGGUGGAGAAGACUCCUGGGCUUCAGCCUCUCCCACCCAGCCCUGCUCCUCACCUGCCGGCCGUCCCCUCCCCCACUCUAUACUGGGGACUGGAUCUCAGCCUCUGAUCAGUUUCACAAAGUUUGUUCCCUAAGGAAAUCAAAUCCCAUUGUCACCUAACUCUAAAGAUCUAAACAGCCCACGGAUCAGUAUGGGAACCCCAAAUCCCACAGGGCCAGAUGUGGAGUCUGUGUCUGCCCCCGUCUUCUCUUCAUCUUCAAAGCCCCCACUUCUCUCCAGGCUGUUUCUUUUUUUAUGACUGUAAACAUAGAUAGUGCUUUAUUUUGUUAAUAAUAAGAUAAUGAUGAGUAACUUAACCAGCACAUUUCUCCUGUUUACACUCGGGGGAUUUUUUUGUUUUCUGAUGACAUAAUAAAGACAGAUCAUU
rnacentral:lncRNA from 1 species